UACGGGGGGAGCAAGCGUUGUUCGGAUUUACUGGGCGUAAAGGGCGCGUAGGCGGUCAGCACAAGUCAGUUGUGAAAUCUCCGGGCUUAACUCGGAAAGGUCAACUGAUACUGUGCGACUAGAGUGCAGAAGGGGCAACUGGAAUUCUCGGUGUAGCGGUGAAAUGCGUAGAUAUCGAGAGGAACACCUGCGGCGAAGGCGGGUUGCUGGGCUGACACUGACGCUGAGUGCGCGAAAGCCAGGGGAGCGAACGGG
rnacentral:rRNA from 1 species